GGGAAUGUGGCUUAGUGGUAAAGUGCUUGCCUUGUAUGCAUGAAGCCCCAUUACCA
rnacentral:tRNA from 1 species